rnacentral:rRNA from 1 species
GACGAACGCUGGCGGCGUGCUUAACACAUGCAAGUCGAACGGAAAGGCCCUGCUUUUGUGGGGUGCUCGAGUGGCGAACGGGUGAGUAACACGUGAGUAACCUGCCCUUGACUUUGGGAUAACUUCAGGAAACUGGGGCUAAUACCGGAUAGGAGCUCCUGCUGCAUGGUGGGGGUUGGAAAGUUUCGGCGGUUGGGGAUGGACUCGCGGCUUAUCAGCUUGUUGGUGGGGUAGUGGCUUACCAAGGCUUUGACGGGUAGCCGGCCUGAGCGGGUGACCGGCCACGUUGGGACUGAGAUACGGCCCAGACUCGUACGGGAGGCAGCAGUGGGGAAUAUUGCACAAUGGGCGGAAGCCUGAUGCAGCAACGCCGCGUGCGGGAUGACGGCCUUCGGGUUGGAAACCGCUUUCGCCUGUGACGAAGCGUGAGUGACGGUAAUGGGUAAAGAAGCACCGGCUAACUACGUG